CUGCGCUCCUCAUGCUGACCGCGCAUCGCACCCGCCCACACACUUGCGCGCAGAAAGCAACCAAAACGGAUGAUCGUGGAAGAAGAGAAAACACCUCUGCUUUUUUUUUUCACGGAAACGUCAACAACCAUGAACUCCACGACCACCAUCUCUACAGAUCCUGACGCCUCGUUCUCGCGCGCUGCAUCGCGUGUUUCGACACCCGGCACCAUGAGUGUACUGGUGCCGUACAAGCGCCCUGUGCAGAAGUCUUCCAUGGCGCCCGGUGGCGCCUCUCAGCAGCAACGGUCCUUACAAUCGGCGUACGCAGGCAAAAGCAUCAGAACAUCCGCGUCAACCCUUAGUAGCUCUGUGCCGCCGCACGGCGCUGGAGCCGCCUCGCGUGGCGAUCAAAGCCGGAGGGGGAACGGCGCUCCUGAUGGCACGCUAAACUCAUAUUCGUCGCACCCGGCAGCGCCACUGGAUCGUCCGCGCGACGAGGAGUUUGACGCGGUGGAGCGGCGGGCCCGCAUGGCGUUGGAAAGUAUCGCGACGCGGGAUGAAGACUUGGAGCCGAGCAUGGGCGAUCAUAUCGAGGUUCUGCAGUCGUACCGUACUGCGUGCGAAGCGCGCGCGAUGUACCGCGAAGCUUACCUUGUGCAGCAGGUGCUGAGGAAUCUGCGGCUUGAGGAGGAGAGCCGGCAUGUGCGCGGCAUCACGGAACAGCAGAUGGAGGAGCGCCGAAUUCUCGAGGAGGCGCACCGCCAAGAGUUUCGCGAGUUUCACCACUCCUGGAACGCCCGCAUCGACGCAUUUGAGGAGGAGCAGCUGGAUGCUGAGCUGGCGCUGCUGGAGCGGCAAAACGAAGAACUCAUUCGCUUUCAGGAAGAGAUGCGAAACUUCCAGCCUCGUCUUCUCAGGUACAGCCGCUCGCUGCUCGAGUCUCGCCUGAAGCAGCAGACACUAGCCAAGCAGCGCGACUACGUGGCGGCACAGGCGCAAAAGGCGCAUGCCGAAGCGAUCGAGGUGGGGGACAUUGAGCGCUUCGAGGCUGCCCGUAUGAGUCUGUUUGAGCGCCGCGAGUACGCUGCGCGCCAUCGCCAUCAGCAAGAGUUAUACGCGCUGCGCACGAAGGUGGAGAGCCGCCGACUGUAUCUUGAGCGGUACCGCAAGCAGGAGCUUGAUGUGCUCUUGCAGCGCUAUAUAAACGCCCGCCGUUCCAUGGAGUCGCAGCAGAACAUCGUUCGAAACAAGACCGGCACGCUACUGCUGAAGCACGCGUGCAAUAUGAAAACGGAUAACAGCGGGACGGCGGUGCUGGUCGAAAGCGCCGGCUCUGGCGCCUUUGGCACCAUGGUGCAGCGACGCCAGGCCUACGAGCUCCGCGCCUCGCAGGGCCCGCCGGAUGGGGCCUCCGCGUCGGUUCACGACGGAAGCACGAUGUAGCGAGCGCGUGGGAGUGCGCGUGUGUGUUGCGCCAUCUCAAGCAGGGCCAAUUAUGCGCUAUUAGUGGACUUGGGUUUCUGCCGACCUUUCGUUCUCUCUCUGGUGUUCUUGCCCUAACACGGGUAUUGCUCAAUUGGAUAUCCACCAUGCUGCCGAUACCAUGAUGAUGAUGUGUGGUUUUUAAGUUCCACCUCUACUUAGACGUUCGCUGUGGGUUCUGAUUUUUUUUGUUUGCUUUUCGUUUUUCUUUUGAGUUUGCCGCGUUUCCGGCAGGCUUGAAAUGGCCGUCCUCCACACAGAUGCUGAGGCACCCGGCUGCGAGUGCUUUCGCCCAUGAAUCGCUUUCUCCGGAAAGAGAGAUCGAAAGGGAAAGCGGAGAGUGCCACGGGUUUGGCCACUAAAUGUAGGGUCAUACAGCACCGCAUUUUUCUUUUUUGCUUGAUUGUCUUGCUGGUGUCCUCGCGCGCUGAUGAACUGGCCUGUUCCCGUGCCUUAUGUUCGUCGACCUCUGUAUAGUUUGUUUUCCCUUCACGCUUCUUUGCCCGCUUUCUGCUCACGCCUAUGAGCACGGACAUGUGCGCUGCGACGAUGUACAGCUGUUUUUUUUUUUUGGUUAUUUCUCACUCUGUUUCCACGCCCCUCUUGUGGCUCUGUUUGGCAAGUGUUUCGCUCCGUAUCAUGCCCAUGCCGGAAACAGAGCCAACAAAAGAGAAACGAUGCAGACCCACACAGGGAGGCGCAGGAUGGUGCGGCUCCGCCGAAGAACCGAAGGGCAUAUCCGUCGAAUCGUUUUUCCCUCAAGUCGCUCAUCGCUCUCUGCCGCGCUCU
rnacentral:misc_RNA from 1 species